rnacentral:rRNA from 1 species
CCUACGGGAGGCUGCAGUGGGGAAUAUUGGACAAUGGGCGAAAGCCUGAUCCAGCCAUGCCGCGUGUGUGAAGAAGGCCUUCGGGUUGUAAAGCACUUUCAGUGGGGAAGAAAGCCUUGGGGCUAAUACCCUCGAGGAAGGACAUCACCCACAGAAGAAGCACCGGCUAACUCCGGGCCAGCAGCCGCGGUAAUACGGAGGGUGCGAGCGUUAAUCGGAAUUACUGGGCGUAAAGCGCGCGUAGGCGGUCUGAUAAGCCGGUUGUGAAAGCCCCGGGCUCAACCUGGGAACGGCAUCCGGAACCGUCAGGCUAGAGUGCAGGAGAGGAAGGUAGAAUUCCCGGUGUAGCGGUGAAAUGCGUAGAGAUCGGGAGGAAUACCAGUGGCGAAGGCGGCCUUCUGGACUGACACUGACGCUGAGGUGCGAAAGCGUGGGUAGCAAACAGGAUUAGAUACCCCUGUAGUC